rnacentral:rRNA from 1 species
AUUGAACGCUGGCGGCAGGCCUAACACAUGCAAGUCGAGCGGAGCGGCGGACGGGUGCGUAAUGCUUAGGAAUAUGCCUCGUAGUGGGGGAUAACGUCCGGAAACGGGCGCUAAUACCGCAUACUAUCAGAUGAGCCAAGGUCGGAUUAGCUAGUUGGUGGGGUAAAGGCCUACCAAGGCGACGAUCCGUAACGGGUCUGAGAGGAUGAUCAGCCACACUGGAACUGAGACACGGUCCAGACUCCGACGGGAGGAAGCAGGGGGGAAUAUUGGACAAUGGGCGAAAGCCUGAGCCAGCCAUGCCGCGUGUGGGAAGAAGGUCUUCGGAUUGUAAAGCACUUUAAGUUGGGAGGCGUUACCAGCAGAAUAAGCACCGGCUAACUACGUGCCAGCAGCCGCGGUAAUUC